AUUGAACGCUGGCGGCAGGCCUAACACAUGCAAGUCGAGCGGAGCGGCGGACGGGUGAGUAAUGCCUAGAAAUCUGCCUGGUAGUGGUGGAUAACGUCCAGGAACGGGCGCUAAUACUGCAUCCUUGCACGUGAGCCUAGGUCGGAUUAGCUAGUUGGUGGGGUAAAGGCCUACCAAGGCGACGACCCGUAACUGGUCUGAGAGGAUGAUCAGGCACACUGGAACUGAGACACGGUCCAGACUCCUACGGGAGGCAGCAGUGGGGAAUAUUGGACAAUGGGCGAAAGCCUGAUCCAGCCAUGCCGCGUGUGUGAAGAAGGUCUUCGGAUUGUAAAGCACUUUAAGUUGGGAAGCGGUACCAACAGAAUAAGCACCGGCUAACUUCGUGCCAGCAGCCGCGGUAAUAC
rnacentral:rRNA from 1 species